rnacentral:lncRNA from 1 species
CUCCUAGGGAGGCCCCUCCUAGGGUCACAGCCAUCUGAGUCCCUGAAAUGCUGCUUUGGGGACUCAGGCCUCAAGCUGCCCAGCCUGAAUGCCCCUUAGAGACCCAGCCAUCCAUACCACCAGCCACUGCCUUCACUGGGGACCAGAGAUCCAGCCCUGCAGUUGCCACCACCACCAGCUUCAGACCCAAAACCCUCAGAGAUACCCUCAGGAAUACAGCUGUGCUCCCACGCGAUAAAGGAUCCAGGCUCUUAGGCCCCAGUCAGACAUACACUAUCUGAUCCCCUGAAACUUCUACUUGGGACCCAACCCCUCUCAAGGUCCAAGCCCUCACAGCUGGCUACAUUUAGGAGCCGUUGUAUUCACCACCUUCCUCACUCCCAGCUUUCCAACCUGCGGAUCAAACUGCCCCUGACCUCUGGAAACUCGCAUGGCACCUGCCUCCCCCACUUCCACUACUGCUCAGCCCCUUCUCCCCUCCUUUCUCUGGUGACGCAGAGGGAGGUCAUAGCUCCAGAGCUCCCAUCCCGCCCAAUCUCAGCUCUUCCCAGACAAGUCCAAUUAGAGGCCUUGGCAGGCAGCCUCAUUAGUAGCCGCAGCUGGGAGCCUGAAAGAGGGGAGGGGGAGAGGGAAGCAACACAGGAAACCAGAGGCCCGAAGGCCAGGGCCCCGGAGGAGGGUGGGCCCAGUCAUCUAGUGCGUUCUCCAUCCUCAGAGGCCUGGACACAGCCUCCUAACAAUCACAUCCCAAUCACAGGGCUGGGACUUCACGGCAUACAACCAAAUGCUUACACCAGCCUGACUGCAAAGUACCUGAGCUGGAAUCUGAAUCCACGCUGAUUCCAGAGGCCCCCCCUCACCCCAUUCAGG